AAAUUCGAGUAAUCGCGGUGUACUUUUAUACACUGAGGAAAGUCCAUGCCCGCACAAGCUGAGAUGCUUGUAGUGUUCGUGCUUGGCCCAAUAAGCCAAGGUACUCUCGAGUAACGGCAACGAAAACGCUAAGGCGUAAGCUAUGUGUUAGUAGUUUGAAAGUGCCACAGAAACGCGUGUUCACUAGAAAUGGUGAAAUUGGAACGGGUAAACCCCACGAGCGAGCAACCCAAACUUUGGUAGGGGCGCUUCACAACGGUAAAUGAAUCUAGUGUGAAGGCAGUUAUGCAGAUAGAUGAUUACUGAUUGUAUUAGAAAUAACCUGGUUUAAUACAUGAACAGAACAUGGCUUAUAGAA
rnacentral:RNase_P_RNA from 1 species